rnacentral:lncRNA from 1 species
ACAAAUACACAUUUUCUCUUCUCUUCUUUGAUCUUUUCCUCUCUUCUACACAUUCAAAUGGCCACUGCUGAUGUAUGCAUACAUAUGUUCUUAAUUUUUUUCAAACCCAUUUCUCAUUAGUCUAAAGUUUGAUUAGCGAUCCAGUUCUAGAUUCAAUGUUUUUCACUUGUCUUAAUCCACUUAGAUGCUUAAGUUUACACAAUAUAUACAUGAUCCACAACAUGAGAAAAUAUUAUAUAUUCUGUAACUAUACCAAACAAAAACCUCAUGCAGUUUUGAAUUGAUCUUAUAUGUGACAAUGGUUUUGCAGGUUGAACAAGUGACUCCAGCCGCAGCUGAGCACGUCGAGAUGACACCACCAAAGACAGUAGAGCCUGAGGAAACAGUCGCCGUUGUGACUGAGUCUGCUCCAGCUCCGGUAACAGAAACUGAAGCUCCCGUGGAAGAAACAGAGGAAACCAAAACCGAGACGAAAGAGGAAGAAGCUCCCGUCGAAGUAACCACUAAAGACCUCCCCGUGGAAGAAACAGAGGAGACCAAAACAGAAACUGAAGAGUUCAAGAAAGAGGAAGAAGCUCCCGUGGAAGUAACCACUAAAGACCUCCCCGUCGAAGAAACAGAGGAAAUCAAGACAGAGGCGGAGGAGAUCAAGAAAGAGGAAGAAGCUCCGGUUGUGGAGGAAGAGAGCAAAGCAGAGGAAGUCGUAGAGCCUAAGAAAGAGGAAGAAGCUCCGGUGGUUGUGGAGGAAGAGAGCAAAACAGAGGAAGUCGUAGAGCCCAAGAAAGUGGAGGAAGAAGUGAAGACAGAGGAUACUCCAGCUGUUGUGGAGGAAAAGAAGAAGCCAGAAGCAGAGGAGGAGAACCCCACUGAAGUAGCAGCCGAGGAAGCCGCCGCAGCUCCGGUGGGAGUUGCCGUGGAGAAGGCUGAUGAGUAAAUCUGAAAGAAAGAAGUUUGCUACUUUAUAAGUACGUUGCGUCUUUGCUUUGUUGUUCUGAGUCUGUCACUCUUGGUGGCCCCUUUUGCAUCAUCUCCCUCUCUUUAUUCCUACUUUCAAUGUUUAAUAUAAUGAAUCCUCUUUAAAUAAACGAAACUCAUCUCUUGCUCACUACAAUACAAGUAACCGUUUGGUCCUAGAAUCAUCACUUAGAACUAAUAUCUAAGAUUCAUAUCUAAGCAAAAAAAAAACUUACAAAAAAGUUUCAGAAGCUUCUAUCUUUAUGUUCUUGUCUCUCCAGCGAAUAUACCCAUCAACUCAGCCACAAGCUCCUCAUCAUCAUCAUCAUCAUCAUGUUUCCUCACAUACCUUUUCAAGAAAUCCUGAUCUGUACAUACCAAAACAGUUGACACUGGAGGGAGUUCACUUUUGAUCAACCCUUUGGCAAUAAGAGCUUUGAUUACAUUACACCUAGGUACCAUCCUCUUCUCCAUGCUGUAUCCAAGCACCUGAGGGUACGAAGCCACAGCCUUUAGUGGCCAACCCAUCUCCUUCACAACAAACUCGAUCUUCUUCUUCACCGUCUCCACAGAAUACCCAAUGCACGGAGGAAGACGCUUGACCAUCAUAGCAACAUCCUCUCUGCUGAAACCUAAGCCUAUGAAUGUCUCAACAGAGUUCAAUAUAUUCUUCUCUGAAACACCAAUGCACUGAGGAAACCUCUUCACCACUAACCGGACCUCGUCUUCCAAUAGUCCACACUUUCUCAUGGUCUCGAAGUUCAGAGUUAUCUUCCUCUCAGAGAGUGUCAAGAAAGUCGGAAACUUCUUGAACAUUACCCAUAUAUCUUCCACAGCAAACCCUAAACGCUUAUAGACGUUCACUUUCUCCUCCAUUGCUUCCUUGUUCAGCCCCUUGACAACUCUCAGAGCUUCAAGAAACUUAGGCGUAGUUGGAUCAAAACCCAUCUCAAGAACCUUCUUGAGAGACUCCUGAAACGUCUCUUUCCCACAGAUAUGUGGGCACUCUGAGAUUAGCAAAGGGAACAGCAACCUCUGAGGCACACCAAUACCUCUCAAAGCCAACACAUUUCUGAUUUUAUUCUCCUGUUUACCCCUCUGUGGGGAUAAAGUUUCCAACUUUGAGCUCUUAUCCGCUUCCAUGACCUCUUUGACGAAGUCGUAGUACACGCUUAAAGACCUGUCCUUUGACAAGAUCUUUGGAACUUUCGAGAUGGUUUCAGUUAGCUCUGAGGCUGAAGAUACUUUUGAAUGUAAAGCUUGAAGCUUUGGAGCAAGAGACUUGUCAGCAUCUAGUGUAAGGAGCAGUGGGUAAUCUGUAAUGAUGGUGGAGAUUUGAGAAUCUGUGAAGCCGUGAGUUCUCAAGAGAUUCAGAACUGAAUCAGGGUUACACUUGUUGUUGAAGCUGACUUUCUUUGAGAUUGAUUCUGCAAGUUUUGGGGUGAAACCCAGUGAAUCAACGAGGUAAGAGACUGUAAAGUUCUGACCUUUGCGAGCAGCAGAGGAGAAGGGAGUGAGAUUCAGUGAGAGUCUACAUUUCUGCAACCUUCUUCCACGGAGAAUCAGAGAAUACAUGACAGAAACAGAGCAAAUGUUUGUUGUAAGUUUUUACUUGAUAAACCCUAAUCUCUCGUAUACGACGAUUAAGAACAUGGAUGGGCCUUGUGAAAGAACCUAUCUGCUAAUGACAGAUGAGAUGAGUCCUUCCUAGCAAAGCAAUAAGACCAUGUCCAACGGCGGAUUUCACCCGGUCCAUAAGACAAAUCCUUAAACAUAAUUGUAAUUAAAUACUAUUAUUAGCGAUAAAUCGACGAAGGAUUGGUCCGUCGCAGCGGACUUAAGGAUUCAAUCCUUAGCAACGUGUCACGUGGUGAGUGGGUCGAUUUUGUCUUUGGUUUGUGUAGGGUCAAAAAAAAAAAUCAUUCUCGAGCCAAACUGAAAAAAAAAUUUCUUCUCGAGAGAAAGGCGAUUUCGAGACGAUUUUGCUCGAUCUCUCUUCCUCGGCUUGUGUAAGGUAAAUCGAAGCUUUAACUCGUAGAUUUAUCGAUUAGAGAUCACUCUCCAUCUUGUUUGUUCUGUAUUAAGGGUUUGGUUCUCGGAUUUCGACCGAUUUGAGAAAAUUUUCAAAUUAGGGUUUCAAAAAUAUUUGGGGAUAAAUCGAUUUCAGGAUUCUUUGGGGGUUUAGAUAGGGUUUCGAAACGUUUUUGGUUUCGAAAACCUUUGGUAUCUCCACGGUUAUAAAAAAAAAAAACAAUCCGAUUCUUUUGUCAAUUUGAGACUUUGGUUGCUUGUGUUUUACUGCUUUGUUUCUUGUCGAGAUUAGCCUUUGGUCACAGUAUUUGGGAGAGUUAACCUUCGUUUGAUACAUUGUUAGAAACUUCUUGUUCACACAAAAAAAACGCCACAGAUAUCAAACAGAGAUCGGUGUUGCUCAGAAUUUAUGAGAUGAAUUAAUUGGUGUUUGUGGACCAUUGUAUAAUUUCAAUAUGUCACAUCUUGAUCUGAAAAUUAUUACUGAAUUAUAUCAUACUAGUUAGUUAUUAUAAAAGUUAAUAAUACUUUAAGAAUAAAAUGAGAAAACUUCUUAUUUGAAUUCAGAUUUGAAUAGUAAUUUGUUUAUUUAGUAUGGUUAUUGAUAUGAUUCUGAUGAUGAUAAGGCACUCUGUUAAGACUAGUAUUAAUAUGCUAUUCUAUUUUAGUUAGUUCUAUUGAGCAAUUUGUUGUGGCCGGAAUCACGAACAUAUGUAAUCUGCAUUCUGAAAUUAUUUAAGCAGUAUUGGAAUCAGUUUAUGUUGUAAACCAUACUUUAUGUUUAGCUUUCUAACAACAUCUCCAAAAGACACUUUAUAACUUCAAAUAUGGAGUUUUUUGCUCUCCAAAAAGAAACUUCAAAACUUCAAAUUUGAAGUUUCAAGGAGUGAAACUCUAUAUUAAAGUUUCACUACUCAAAAUUUCAAACUUUUAUUUGCAUUUUAGUCCAUACAAUCACACAUCACCUUUAUGAUCCAUAAAUAUUUUUUUGUUUAUUGUUUUAAUCCUUAAAAAAUUAUAUCUCAUAAAUAUUUUAAAUUUUGUUUACAGAAUUUAAAUUUUACACAUAAAAUUAAAUAAAACUUUAAAAUAAGAUUUAAAAUAUUUUAACUAGGAAAACAAUAAUAUACAAAAGAAACUUAACAAAAAAUAUUUUAAAAAAUUAGAUGAAGACAUAACUAUUACACAAAUUUAAAUAUUACAACAACACUAGUAGCCAGGUAAGUUUGAUCCGGAACCUUCAAAAUUUUCAAAUAUUAUUACUUUUUUUUGUGCAACCGAAGAUGAUUGUUGUUGUUGUUUUUGAUGUCUUUUUCGUACAAUUUUUUUUUGUUCAUAUCCAAUAUAUUCAUGAGUAUUAAUAUCAUCGAAAAAAAUUAAGUAUUUUAGCAAUAUUUUAUGUUUCUAUUUUACUUUCUUGUUCUUAUCUAAUAUAUUUACAAGUAUCAAUAUCACCCAAUUUCAACAAAGUAAAAAUGAGGAGAGUCAUUUUUACUUCGAAAUACACUAAUAUAUCAUAUAUGCAUUACGAAAAUCAUUUAUGGAAUAAUAUGGUAUUUUGCUUGAAGUUUAAUAUUAAUUAAGUUAUUUUUAUUUAAAUUUUUAUAUUUUAUAGAAUAUUUCAUUAAUUAAUAUUGUUGUGAUAUGUUUAUAUAUGUGCUAGUUAUUUAUAAAAAUUUUAUGAAUUCAAAUUAGUUAUGACAAAUAUAAGGACCAUAUUAUAAAAUACAAAUAGUUUUGAAGUUGAGUUUGAAGUUUUGCUUUUGGAGAAUAAUAGCUUUAAACUUCAAAUAUAGAAUUUUAGAAACUUCAAAAUAGAGUUUCUUUUUAGAGAUGCUCUAAGGGUCAACAUCACUAUCAUGUUUUUUUAGAACCAAAAAAAAAAAACAUUACAGUGAUGCUGGCCCUUAGAAAGGUAAACACAAAGUAUGGUUUACAACAUAAACUGAUUCCAAUACUGCUUAAAUAAUUUCAGAAUGCAGAUUACAUAUGUUCGUGAUUCCAAUACUGCAUCACUAUCAUGUAUAUUGUGUACCUAUUCUGUAGUAUUUAGUUUGGGUCAACUAAUGUUGGAGUUGUACCAUUCCGAUGUUGCAUUGCUAAAUACAUGAUCGUUCUUUUCUGAUGAUGUUACUCUAUUUUCUGAUGAUAAAUCUAAUAAUGUGACAAUAUGUAGUUAAAAAUUGAAAUUUAUGAUGUUGGUGCAAACACUUGAACACUUCUUUUGUGCGGUAUCAGACCUAUUGAUUUUUUUUAGCUCAUAUAAGUUCUAAUUUCAGUGCAGGCGACAAAUAGAAAGAAUAACACUUAGCUGAUGUUUAAAGUCAAUAAUUUAAUCGUAACGGGAGACGUGGUAACUUUCUUAGUGUGUUGGAAUCAUUUUUAUUUGUCAUUUUUGUUUUAUGAGAUUUUAACAUUUUAGUAUUUUAUAGUUUUUUGGUGUCUAAUUUUCUUAUAGAAUUUUUUGGGCGUUACAAAGAAAAACACUUUUUGUUGAAAAUUAAUAUUUGCAUUGAUUUCUAGUAACUUCUUUUGAACUCAUUUAUUAUUUCAUUUUAUAUUAAAUCCAUUCACAUCACCUAACUCUAACUCUAACUCUAACUCUAAUUCAACCAAUGCAUUUUAGAACUCUAAUUCAACCAAUACAUUUUAGAGUGAAGAAAAAAACAAAAAGACUAUUUUCUUUAUUUAUUUUUUACAAUCAAAAUGUCAAAAUAAUUUCUCAAUCUUUGUUGAUAUUGAAUAACAUCCACAUCGGAUAACUAAAGUAAUUUGUUCUUUGCGAAUAGUAUUCGGAGUACAAUCAAGAAUUGUGGAGAAAUACUUCAAUGCAUGUAUCUUUUGUAUAAUCAUAACUUUCAUCUCAGUAACCAAUAUUUCAAUAAUUUCAUGGGGUUUUUGCCAAAACUAAUCCACAACUUGAUUUUAAUCCCAAACAUAUACCCAAACUUGAAUCAAAUGCGAAACUAACCUAAAAGCCUAGUGAAAUUACAGUUCAACCUCUUGUGACCAAACAAAAAAACAAAAGCCAUUUUUACGAAUAUAGCCCCAGUAAAUCGUCCGAGUCGUCUGAGAUGUUAGAAGUCGUCUGGACGACUGAAGUGUAAGUCGUCUGGUACCAGCUUAUUUUAAAAAUAAUUUAUAAAUCUUGUAAAAAAAUAUUUUGAUGCGUGAAAAAUAAAAAUCAAGUAAUUAUAAACAGUUUUAAGUGAUAUAAAUUAAGAUAUGAUAAAAUUGAUUUGUUUUGAAGAUAGAUGAGUGGAAGUAGUGAAUCAUGAAAUACUUUGGUUUAGGAGUUUGGCAAACAUAUGUUGUAGUAUUGUAUGUAUUGUUAGGGUUAGAUUUUGGAAAACUAAAAUGUUUUUUUCAAAAAUUAGUUUUCACCUAUAUGUGUUUAUUUCUGUGUAUAAUAAACACUUUUCAAGUUUGAUUUGGUUUUAUGAAGUGUUUAACUAGAUAAUUAAGUUUAGGGGUUAUGUUUAGGGUGUGGACGACUUAUAUUUCAGUCGUCUGUUGAAUAAUUUACCCGGACGACGCAUAUUUCAGUCGUCCACAUCGUACCGAACCUUUAAUUUUACCAAUGUACGUUUUAACCUAACCGAAUCAUUUUACUCGGACGACUUACAUUUCAGUCGUCUGGUGAAGAAAUUAAAAUAGACGACUUAUAAUUCAGUCGCCCAAAUAUUCCCGAAUAAAUUUUUUUUUUAAAAUUAUUUUCCCGCUUGAAUAAUUUAAACCAGACGAAGUCUUCUAUUUUACUUUCCCGCUAAAAAUAUUUAAUUUCCCACUAAAAAUAUUAAACUCUUCUGGACGACUUACAUGUAAGUCGUCUGUUUUAAUUUCUUCAACAGACGACUGAAAUGUAAGUCGUCUAGGAAGUCGUCUGAGUCAAAAAUAUUUAACCUAAUUGGAUUUUUUGUCUCCCUCUAUAAAGAAAAAUUUACACAUUCUCUCUCCUCCUCUCAAAUGGCUGCAACAAAAAUGUAAUGUUCAUCAUUUUAAAACUCUCCAACCUCUCUCUAAUCUCUUUGACUUGAAAACACCAAACUUUAUAUGAAUUUUUCAGUUUUGUCUCAUGUAUUUCUUACUGAUCUAUCUCUUUUGUAGGUUUUUAAUCAAAUGGUACUCAUCUUCCACUAAUUUAAAGGGAGAUCUAUUAAUUUUAGAUAUGUAUUUUUGUGUGUUCUAUAAAUGUAGAUUUAUCUAAUCUUCCACUCAUUUUCUCUAUUUUUAAGUCAUUUGAACGUUUUUGGAUAUGCAGGUUUUUCAGAUCUGGAUUUGAUAUGCAGGUUUUUCAGAUCUGGAAGACUUCUGAGACGACUUACUUGUUAGUCGUCUGGAAGUCGUCUGGAAGUCGUCUAGACUUCUUGGAAGUCUUCUGACAAAGUCGUCUGGACUUCCAGGAAAUCGUCUGGAUUUUUCUGAGCGUUUUGGUAAGUUCUUAUGUCUGAUUUUUCUUCAUUUGGUAACUUCUUGUUGUAUAAAGUUCUUACUUUUUUCCCAAAAUAAAACUCUCCAAACCCACUCUAAUCUCUUUGACUUGAAAACACCAAAACUUUAUAUGAAUUUUCAGUUUUGUCUCAUGUCUUUCUUACUAAUCUAUCUUUUUUACAGGUUUUUAAUUAGAUGGUACUCAUCUUCCACUAAUUUAAAGGUAGAUCUAUUAUUUUUAGAUAUGUAUUUUUGUGUGUUCUGUAAAGGUAGAUUUAUCUAGUCUUCCACUCAUUUUUUCUGUUUUUAAGCCAUUUGAACGUUUUUGAAUAUGCAGGUUUUUAAGAUCUGAAUUUAAUAUGCAGGUUUUUCAGAUCUGGAAGACUUCUGGGACGACUUACUUGUUAGUCGUCUGGAAGUCAUCUGGAAGUCGUCUGGAAGUCGUCUGAAAGUCGUCUGAAAGUCGUCUGGACUUCCUAUAAAGUCGUCUGGAAGUCGUCUGAACUUCCUAAAAGUCUUCUGACAAAGUCGUCUGGACUCCCAAGCUUGUCUACUCAAGUGGAAUCCAAGCUUGUCUUUGUAGAGGAAUGAUCUAUAAUAGUUUUGUUUGUGGUCUGUUUUGUGAAUUGCAUGUCUACUCUUUUAGUUGUGAAUUUUUUGUAAAAUCAGUAAUAAUGUUUUCCAAGAUGUAUUAAAUGUGCUAACAAUGUGUUUACAUAUUUACAAACCAAUGAAAUAAUAGACUUCAGUAGCCUUUUUCUUAUCUUUGGAUCUCUCAUAUGCAAUAAUAAACUCCAAUGGCCUUUUCUCAUCUUAAUAAACACGAAUGUUGGUAGCUUCAUAUUGAUACAACAUUUUAAGAAGCAUUUAACCCUUCUUCCAACUCAUAACAAUAGUCAUCAUUAUUGUCUAUAACAAUAAUACUUAAGAGAUGGAAACAAACAAUAGUAACUAGUCAAAGCAUAUCAUAUUUUUUUAUAAGUUUGCGUUGAAAAACUUAGUCAAAUUUAGUAAAACUAAGGGAGAGAACAUAUUUUGUAAAUAUGAGUUUUACAUAUCUUGAAGUUACUUAUCACUCUUAAAAAUACAAGUUAUUCAAAAACUAACGUAAAAGACUAAAAACUAGCGGAGAAGACGCGGACGACUUCAAUCUAAGUUGUCCAGACGACUAAACUAUACGUCGUCUGGUCAACGCAGAUGUUAUUUUUGCAAUUGACUUUGAAAUCUGUUAUUUCGGAUGACUGAAAAAUAAGUCGUCUACUAUUGUUUGGUUAAAAAAAAACUCCAAAAAAGCUAGACGACUUACAUUUCAGUCGUCAUAGGCUAGUUUUGCAUUUGACUGGAUUAUUUCAGAAGUUUGACUUUUCUGGAUGACUUACAUUUCAGUCGUCUAGUGAAAAUUAAAAUAAUAAUAUUUUUUUAAAAGUAGACGACUUACAGUUAAGUCGUCAUAGGUUAGUUUUGCAAUUGAAAAAAAAAACUUCAAAAUUUAAUUAUAUACAGACGACUUAUAAUUCAGUCGUCCAUGAGACGACUGAAAUGUAAGUCGUCCAGGAUUUACGAGGUUUGACCAGAAUCUCGGAAAAAAAUCCUCGACGACUUACAAGUAAGUCGUCUGUGUAUAAUUAAAUCUUGAAGUUUUUUUUUUCAAUUGCAAAACUAACCUAUGACUACUUAAUUGUAAGUCGUUUACUUUAAAAAAAAUAUUAUUAAUUUAAUUUUCGACAGAAGACUGAAAUGUAAGUCGUCUGGGGAAGUCAAACUUCUGUAAUUAUCCAGUCAAAUGCAAAAAUAACCUAUGACGACAUAAAUGUAAGUCGUCUAGGUUCUUUGGAAAUUUUUUUGAAACCAAACAAUAGUAGACGACUUAACUUUCAGUCGUCUCAGGUUACAGAUUUCAAAGUCAAUUGCAAAAAUAACAUUUCCGUUGACCAGAUGACCUCCAGGUAAGUCGUCUACAGCCAGACGACUUCCCAAGUAAGUCGUCUGACGAACAGAUCUGGAAAAAAACUCGAUGUCAUACCUUAAAUGUGUGAGAUAAGUUCCUUAGCAUACAUAAGGCUUCUCCAAGCACACAGAAUCACAAACGAUAGUCACCCACCCAGAAUCGUUAGCUUCUAUGACUCUAUGAACCAUAAAAAUUUUAGAAUCAAAAUCUUGGGUUUUUUUAGCUCAUUGUGGAGAGAAAGUGAGAGAUAUGUUUUGUUUAGUUCACAAGAAUGGAAAAAAAAGAAGGGUAAAUCGAUUUUGGGAGCAUUAAGAGCUUCAAAUUGGUUGUUCAUGGUGGUUGUGGUAUUGAUGACAAUGGCAAUCUUGUAAUUAUUUGAAGAUGAUGAGGGUGAGAGAGUAAAGAUGUCAUUUUCGAAAAAAAAAAAAUUGAUGGCAUUUUCGUAAAUUAUAUGAACAUGUGGGGUGAAUAGGGCAAAACCAAUUUUCAAAAAAAAAGGAGGUUAGUUUUGUGUUUGACUUUAAGUUGUAGGUCAAUUUUGCAAAAAUCCCUAAUUUCAUUCUGAAUUUUAUGAAUAAUAAAGAUAAUGCACAUAGAAUUUUUUUUUCAAUUCUUCUAAUAUAUAUGCUUACUAAUCAUUGCAUCAAACUCCUAAAUCAUCUCAAUAAAACCCAAAAUAUAAUUUUGAAUCUCUAGAAAUGAAGAAUUAUAAAAAUAUUUUUUCUUAAUAGCUUUAGAAACUACUCAAAACUAAAGCUUUCAGGGUUUUUCUUAGAUCUUUUAUGGAACAACUUCUAUGAGACCUAUAUUUAUACGAAAAACAAUUCACUUUAACAUGUGAGAUAUGAAAACAUAACCCUAACUUAAAUAAAAAACUUUUUUUUCCACUUCUAGAUUUCCUAAUUGUGUUUAUCUCUUAAUAUAUUAAACAUCUAAUAAUAUGUUAAGUUCUUACAAGCAUGAAAUUAUCCAACAUUCACCCCCUUAAUUCCAACUUGAAUUAGAGAGAUCAAUUUCUUAAACUUCGAUUAAGCUUCUCAUUUGCUUGAACUUAAUCCUUGCUAAUGGCUUGGUAAGGAUGCCGGCCUUCUGCUCAACACCCGACGCAUGCUCCACUUCGAUUUGUCCAUUAUCCACACACUGACGAAUGAAAAGAUAUCUUGAGAGUAUGUGCUCACUCCUUCCAUGGAAAAUCAGAUUAUUUGUUAGAGCAAUGGCUGAUUUGUUAUCGAUCAUAAGCUUGACUAUCUCGCCUUCUUCACUUAGUAUCUCACACAACAACUUUUUAAUCCAUAUAGCUUUCUUUGCUGCUUCUAUUUCCGCCAUGAACUCUGCUUCGCAUGAUGACAAUGCGACUAACUGCUGCUUCUGCGACAUCCAAGUAACCAAUAAUGAAGCAUAAUAGAAUUCAUGUCCAGACGUGUUCCUCUCGUCAUCGACAUCAAUAUUGUGGCUGACACUAUAGGAAAUGUGGGUAUUAAUAGCGGGUGUUAAACACUAUUAGUUCGUUUUAAUAGCGUUUCCUAAAACGCUCUGACAGCGCUCGUUAUCGUAGGUUCGACCUUUUUGAUAACGGAUCUUUCGAAUGCUAUAGUUAAAUAAACAACGAUAGCAAAUGUUUCGUGUUAUUAAUUUGUUUUUAAUUAACCAAAAAAUUAUUAAAAAUAAUUACCAAACCAAAACUCAUUAUUAAAUAAUUAAAAAUUAAAAAAAAAAUUAUUUCAUAAUUAAAAAUUAAAUUUUAUUUAUUAAUUAAAAUCAAUAUACAAAGAAUUGGUUUACAACUAAUAUCAGUUUAUUUAUUAACAUUGAUUUACACACAAACCUGACUUAUUAAAUUAACCAUAUCUAAACCAAACCUAAUAAACCAACCAAAACUAAACCUAAUCUACGCCGCUGCUUUCCUCCCAUCGUGUGUCAUGUCGCCACCGUCGUCCUCUUCCAUCUUCUUCAUCUUCCUUACGUCUCUGUCUUCUCCCUCUUUCUCUUUUUCUUCUUCUUGCUCGGCUCCAUCUCCACCAGCACAGCUUCUUCAUAUUCGGCUUCUUCCUGUAACAAGAACAAACAAAUCAAAAAUUAAAUUCCAAACACAGAGAGAGAACAAUGACUAUUGAAUAUGGACUGCAUCAGACACACCGUUCAAUGUUGUGACACUACGAGAACAAGAAUAACCACAAGCCCCAUUAUCAAUUCCACUUCCUCUUCCCCGUCCCUGAAGCCAAAUCCCCAUUUAAUCAAGUUACAAUCUUGUCAAACAACAUUAAUCAUUCAAAAAUCUCAAAACAAAACAAGGAACAUAUAACAAACCUGAGAUACGGUUGGUGUUAACUAAGACCAUGAAUAUGCAUCUGGAAAAGAAGAAGCUUUUAGAAGAGGAUAGAUAAAAAGAGCGGUUGAGACAGAGUUCAUUGGCGGAGGUAGAGAACGAGGAGGUGGAGAUAAAGAUGAUGGUCGCAGAGACGGAGGUAGAGAACGAGGAGAUAGAGAUGGCGGCGUCGGAGGUUAUGGUGAUGGUGGUUGUGAAAGAUUUUUUUUAUGGGGUGAUUUUGUGUAAGGAUGAAGAAGCUAGACAGAAAAAAAAAAGAGAAUACGGAGGAUAGGAGGAUAGGAGAAUAGGAGGGUAGGAAGAAACGCAUUUUCAGUUUGUUCAUUAUUGGCCGUUGGAUUUAGUUUAAUAUUUGGAAUUAAAUUUUUAAAAGGUUAAAACUCGAAUAUAUUUAAACUUAAGAUUUAAGAUUAAAAUAAGAAAAUAUCUAAGUUUUAGGGUUGAUUUUUAAGUUUAGGGUAUAGGAUUUAGGUUUUAGGGUUUUAAGGUUUAGGUUUUUUGGAGGGUUGAGAAAGAAAAUAGAAUGAGAGGGAAGAUGAAAAAACGAAGAUGAGAGGGAAAAUGAAAAAAAUUAGACACCAUGUUUUUUAAAUAAGUAUCUGGCGGCAAAAAUGAUUUUUUUUGCCUCAAUGUAUGAUAGCGCUUAAUUUUGGAUCUGCAAUGGUAAGGCACCUACACUUAACUAAUUAACGCGGCUAAAUUUUUUUAUUUUCCCGCGAUAGCAAUUAUAGCGUUUUAAAUUGACAAACGCUAUAAAAAAAAUAAGUGUUGGUAUACAAUAGCAGAACUGUCAUAAACGCUAUAAUUUGAUGCUAUUAAUACCCACAUUUCCUGUAGUGUGAUGUCACUAUAACCAAUGACGCUCCUUGUCCAAUCUCUCUUGAAAAACGAAGUUUGUUGUUCCUUUCACAUAACGUAAUAUGUGCUUGAUCGCUUGUCCAUGAGAGUCUCUCGGAUUGUGCAUGUAUCUACUAAGAACGCCAACUGCGUAACACAAAUCAGGUAUUGUGCGAAGCAUAUACCUCAAACAUCCUAUAAUUUUUCUGAACUCUGUAACAUCUAUCUCUCAUUCAUCUUCACCUUUUGAGAUCUUUAAAUUCGACUCCAUUGGAACUUGAGUCGCGUUACACGUUUUCAUUUUUGUGUCACACAGUAUUCCUUGAGCAUGUCUUUCUUUUUUUAUUCUAAUUUCAUGUGCUCCUUAAAUAACUUUAAUGCCAAGGUAGUACGUUAGUUUACCUAGAUCUGACAUCUCAAACUUCUUUAACAUAUCUUCCUUGAAAUGUUUAAUCACCUUAAGCAAAGUUUCCGUCACAAUGGAUCAUCAACGUAAAUGGCUAUGAUCAAAACGUCUCCUCCUUCACUCUUGCAGUACACUGAUGGUUCCUUCGUGCACUUCUUAAAUCUCAUCUCCUUCUGAACCUAAUCGAGUUUCACAUUCUAUGCUCUGGGUGUCUGGCGUAACCCAUACAAAGCCUUGUGUAACACAUAAACUCGAUCCUCUUCUCCUUUCUUUUCAAAAGCUUCGGUUGAGUUACAUACAUUAACUCCUUUAGAUCUCCAUUCAAGAAAGCGGUCUUCACAUCCAUGUGAUGUAUCUCCCAACCAUUUGUUGCUGCGAGGGAUAUUAAUAGCGUAUAGUUUCGAGACGUGUCACUGGUGCAAACAAUUCAUCGAAAUAUAUUCCUUGUCUUUGUAUACAGCCUUUGCCACAAGUCUCACCUUAUACUUGUUCACCGUACCAUCUGUCUUUCUCUUUGUCUUGUAGAUCCAAUUUAGCCAUAUAGAUUUCACUUCGGUCGGUCUAUCCACAAGCUCCCAUGUCUUGUUUCUUGUGAUAGACUCCAACUCAGCCACCAUUGCUUCAACCCAUUCUCGUUCAUUUUCAGCCUCAAGAUAGUUAUGUGGCUCGCCAUCCACUGUGAGCAACAAUAUUUCACUGUAUUGAUCUGUAAGUAACAUAUAAUCAUCGAGAUAUCUUGUUUUUGUUAUGGUGCGGCCGUGUCUAGUCACCAAUGGUUGUCCACCACCGUCUUGGUUUACAUUGUGAUCAGUAUCUUCUUCUUCUUCAUCUUGGUUUUUAGAUUUUUAUUCAUGAUAAUCACGUUGAUCAUUACCUUCUUCUAUAUCACCCUCAUGUGCAAGCUUAAGCAUACUUGGUUCACAAUCAGCUUGGUUUGUGUAGACAUGCAAUCCCAAGAUUUCUUCUCAUCAAAAAUCACAUCUCUACUCACCAUCACCUUUCUUGCGACUGGAUCAUAGAGUCUAUAUAGUAUUUGGAACCCGACUCAGUUCCAAGAUUGAUCAUACUCUUUGAUCUCUCAUCCAACUUCUUCAGAUAAGGUCUAGUGAUUUUCGCAUGAGCUACACAACCGAAUAUCCUCAAGUGCUCUAUAUUUGGUUUCUUUGAUGUGAGGCACUCUUAUGGCGUUUGAUCAUUCAAGGCUUCUAUAGGAACUUUAUUGAUGAGCUAAGUUGAAUGUCUUACCGCUUCUCCCCACAAGGAGUUUGGCAUCUUCAUUGCUUUAAUCAUACUUCUUGUCAUUCCCAUUAAGGUUCGGUUUCUCCUCUCCACAACACCGUUUUGUUGAGGUGUGUAAGGCGCAGUAAGGUGCAUUUUAACUCCAUUCCCUUCACAUAAUAGAUUGAACUCAGCUAAGGUAAACUCUUCUCCUCUAUCAGUGCGAAAAGUUUUAAUUGUUGACCCAGUUUGCUUCUAUACACUCUCCUUAAACCUUUUGAAUCUAUCGAAUACCUCACUCUUCUCCUUUAAUAAUAUAACCCACAUAUACCUUGAGAAAUCAUUGAUUAAGACAAAGACAUACUUACUAUUUGCUGGCAUUGGUGGGGUGAUUUGUCCACACAAAUCUCCAUGCAAUAAUUCUAAUGGCUUUGUCGCAGGUAACAUGGCCUUAGUCGGGAAUGAGUGUCUAAUUUGCUUCCCUGCUAGACAUGCGUUACACACGCUUUCUUUGUGUGUUACGCUCAGCGUUCCUACGACGAUCUCCUUUCUUACUAUGUUGUUCAUCACUCCAAAUCUUAUAUGUCCUAGUUGAACAUGCCACCUCCAUGUAGCAUCUUCAUCUCUGACAUGUAAACAUUAUGGAUAGAUGUCGUAAACUUGUAACACAUACUAGCAACCUUCCAUACGAAUAUGUGAGUGUUAAAUAAAUGUCUUUCAUCUUAACCUUACAUCCGUUUUUUGUUGUUUGUCCAAGACUCAAUAUAUUAUACUUCAGAUCGGGUAUGUAAUAUAUGUAUUUUAGUGCCUUCAUCUGUCCAGUGUUGCACACAAAGGUAACAACCCCUUUUCCUACAAUAUCAACACACGAUCCAUCACCAAACUUCACAUUCCCUUUGGUGUUUAUAUUCAGACUCGAAAAGAACUUCUUUUUCUCGUCAUGUGAUUGCUCGCUCCAUUAUCCAUAUACCAAACACUUGCAUUGACUUUGUUGAAAUCAAGAUUCUUUGGAAUUACCUUGUAUUCAUUCAAGAACACAACCUCAUGUAUAUAGAGGGCAUCAGCCUCUUGUGUCUCGUUUAGGUUGGUUUCUUGAUUCAUCAUUAACUUCUCGGGGCAGACAGUUUCAUAGUGACAUCUCCAACAUAUCACAUUUGAACAAUCCUUCUUCGAGUUUUUUUCUUCUUAUGUUUUUGAAUAAUGACGAGCAAAGUCGAGGUAAGUCACACAACCAAAACCAUGUGUCACAUACCGAAUAAUGACCAGCAACAAGGAAAGGCAUUAAAAUCUGAAAUGUAGGUUAAAUUGAAAACUAUACAGAAAACUGAGACUCUUCUCAGUCAUCACCACCAAAAUGAUACUUGAAACAUGUUAUGUAAGAAACAAGGCAACACAUUAGUCACAUAGAUUCCUUGAUUUAUUUUAUUUUUAGUGAAGUUAGCUAUCAACUCACCAACUCUUUAUGAUCAGGCCGACUUAUGGAAUGUGUCCAAGGUGCAUUUUGUUAAGAAUCUUAAUUAUUUUUCAAAAAAUUAGGGUCUACAAAAUCUAAUAAAAAUAAUUUUGUCAAAGUCCAAUAAAAGCUUGAGCCGGGCCUGCUUAUUAUCAUGCUUACAUCCAAAACUAGACCAGAUUUGUGGGAGUUCACUUCUCAGCAUGCCUUUGAGAUGAGAGUUUUAAUUGGGUUACACCUUGGGACAAUACUCUUUUCUCCAGGAUGUAUACAAGUACUGCAAGGUUUGAAACCACAACCGGCCAAUUCAUCUUCUUCAUAAGAAACUCAGUCUCUUCUUAACCUAUCGGAGAUUUUGCAAUGUACUCAGAAAGGGACAUGUGGUCAAUUACAAACCCAUUUCUGGUGAAUUCUAGGCCUAGAAAUGUUUCAGUGGAGUUGGCUAUUGUCAUCACAAACUCAUCUUUGCUCUAGAAAGCAAACGCGUUUUCAAAAAGGUUCAAAUGAUGUCAUCUAUGUAACUCGAUGACAGGUCUUCUUCAUGAAAUCUAUAAUAUAAUGAGCCAGUUGAGUCUUUCCUGAGGUGACACGUCAGCAUGUUUGUGGGACCCACGCCUUCUUUAAAAAAAAAGACUUCUGUUAUGGGCUUCGUCUAUUAUUGCGUGGGCUUCACUGGCCCGUGGGUAGUGACUAUUAUUGGUUUAUGGGCCCCACAUUUUAUUGGUUUGGUUUGGUAUGUAGCAAAUUCCGUUUGGUUCUCCGUGUUUGGUUUUAUGUGUAGCCCCUUCAGUUCCGUAUGGUUUAUGAAUUUGGUAUCAGCCUCAUAAAGAAUGUUUUGUUAUCCUUCGCCACUCUUCUUCAACCUCUAAACUCUGUUUGCAAACACAAAGUUUUUUUUCUAUCACGAUGUUAAGUAGUAGAGACCACCCCCUCCCUCCGCUUCCUUCCCUCCUUCCUCCAACGACGACCUCGAGAGCAUCUCCGCUCGGGGAGCCAAUUCCGAGUCAGACCCCGAGGAAUCAGAGGACGCCGUCGUGGACGACGACGAGGAAGACUUCGCUCCCGAACCUGAUCAGGACUCUUCGAUCCGCACAUUCACCGCCGCUAGGCUCGAUCCAAGCUCAGGAGCCAACGGUUCGAGUCGGAACACUAAGAUUAAGACGGAGAUCUCGACGGUGAAGCUUGAGGCUGGGACUGGGACAGCUGGCGUGAGCUCGGUAUCGGGGAUUGUGCCCAAGGAUGAGUCAGCUAAGAUAUCGACGGAUGAUGAUGUACAGAACUGCGGGGCGUACAUUGCAAGAGAAGAGGCUUUGAGAAGAGAGGUGUAGCUUUUAUCACUUUAUGCUUUUAUCAUUGUUUUAUAGUAAAGUUUUUUUUUUUAACUUUGGCCAUAUCUGUGUUUAGGAAGCAGCUAAUCGGCUCAAGUUUGUAUGUUACUCUAAUGAUUGCGUUGAUGAGCAUAUGAUGUGGUAUCUUCCUUCUCUCAAUCCCUUACAGAAAUUUAAGAAUCUAUUUCAGAGGAUUUUGUCUGAAUGAUUUUGUUCCAGCUUGAUUGGGUUGAAGAACAUAUUUGCAAGACAGCUACCUAAUAUGCCAAAGGAGUACAUUGUUCGCCUUCUCAUGGAUAGGUAUAAAGAAGUUUUCUUUUGCUUUAGUUCUUGCAAGAGCUAUUCCUUGUUGUAACUUGUAAGCAAUCUGAUAUCUGCAACUUAUGCUGUUUACACAGGAAACAUAAGUCUGUCAUGGUCGUAAGACCUCCGGCAGGUGGUAAUGGUAUCACUCAUGUUGUUGGUGGUAUCACGUAUCGUCCAUAUCACAGGUAAGGCCAACUUCGCGUUACUAUUCUCAACAUUCUUACAGUUACAACAAUGAUUCUCUUAUUAGUUAAGAUAUUCCUUGGAACUAUUCAAUACGCUCCUCACUCAAGACUGAAAGCAAGUAGUAUAUUGACUUAGUAGUUUCUUAUUUUUUAAUGUGUGUUGCUCUUCUAAUCAAGUCUUCUGUAAAUGUAUAAUGUGUGUUGUUGAUAAUAAAGAAGAUAUAUAAUUUCAUAAGUAGCGUCAUUACAGUCUUGGCAUGCUUAUUAACUUCACUGUUUUAACUGGGGGAUUCAGUCAGAGGUUUGGAGAAAUAGCAUUUUGUGCAAUCACCGCAGAUGAACAAGUUAAAGGUUACGGUACCAGAUUGAUGAACCACUUGAAAGAACAUGCACGCAAUGUCGAUGGAUUGACGCAUUUUCUUACUUAUGCUGACAACAAUGCUGUUGGUUAUUUUGUCAAGCAGGUUGGUCUAUUUUCAUAUUCUCUGCAAUAUUUGACUCUGCUCUUUUUCAGUUUUUUUUUAAUUUUCCUGUAAUAUUUGGUUGUUUAGUUGUAUUUGUUAGCUCAUCCAGAGCUCUGAGCCGCUCUGUAUACACUCUCAUUAGGGGUUCUAUUUACAAAAUAUUCCUGUUGUUAAAACAACUUCUCUAAAUCUUUUGUCUUAGUUCGUCUUUAUUGUCAUCUGCUUUAGAUAAACAUUUAUUCUCAUUCGUAUCUCUUCAAAAACAAUGUUUCCACUGUUUGCAUGCUUAAUUUUUGUGUGCACAAUCAUAUGAUGAUUUAGGGUUUCUACUAACAAAAUGUUCCUUUUGGUAGAACAACUUCUCUGCUUCUGUCUUAGUUCGUCUUUAUUAACAUCUGGUUUAGAUAGACAUUUAUUAUCAUUUGUAUUCUCUUUAAAAAAUUAUGUUUCCACUCUUUGCUAUCUAGUCUACUCUCCCUGGGGCACUAAAGUUCUGUAGUUUCGCCUUUUCUUAUAGUUGUUCACUAAUUUAAUAUGUUCCGUCUAUUUUUCUUGUGCAGGGUUUUACUAAAGAGAUUUACUUGGAGAAAGAUGUAUGGCAUGGGUAUGUAAGCAAUGUUCAAACUGCUCAUUGCCGUACUCAACAUCUGUGCUUUUUAUGAUUGAUAUCUGAAUGGAAUAUUUGUGGUCUCAGUUAAACUAACAAACCUCAGAAUAAAAUCAUUCUAUUUCCUUGCUGAUCAUUGCUUAUCAGAGAGAUGCCGAAACCAGAAUUUGGCUUUACAUUCUUGUCUACAUCUUUUAACCUACUCUUGCAAAUAAAAAGCUUUGUAUUUUCCCAGGUUCAUUAAAGACUAUGAUGGUGGCCUCCUUAUGGAAUGCAAAAUUGAUCCAAAGCUUCCAUAUACAAAUUUGUCAAAGAUGAUUCGUCAGCAAAGAAAAGUAAGCCAUGAAUAUACUUCACCUCUGAUGAAAUCAUUUCUUGAGCCUUCAAGUUGGUGAUUAAACCCUCAAGUCCAUCAGAUUCUGAUCCCCGUUGUGCUAUUUAUAAUGCCAGGCAAUUGAUGAAAGGAUAAGAGAGUUAUCGAACUGUCAGAAUGUGUAUCAAGUAGCUGAAUUUCAAAAGGUAAACAUCAAAAGUUGCGUGUCUUUUGUUACUAUUACUGCAUGUCACAGCAAAAGAAGAAAAAAAACAUGUUUCUAAUAGUAUAAUAAAUGUGAUAAUUUCUGCAGAAAGAAGGUGGAAGUCCUAAAGAAUAUACUUCACCUCUGAUGAAAUCAUUUCUUGAGCCUUCAAGUUGGUGAUUAAACCCUCAAGUCCAUCAGAUUCUGAUCCCCGUUGUGCUAUUUAUAAUGCCAGGCAAUUGAUGAAAGGAUAAGAGAGUUAUCGAACUGUCAGAAUGUGUAUCAAGUAGCUGAAUUUCAAAAGGUAAACAUCAAAAGUUGCGUGUCUUUUGUUACUAUUACUGCAUGUCACAGCAAAAGAAGAAAAAAAACAUGUUUCUAAUAGUAUAAUAAAUGUGAUAAUUUCUGCAGAAAGAAGGUGGAAGUCCUAAAAAGAUCAGAGUUGAGGAUAUUCCUGGCUUAAGUAAGUCAUGAUUCUACUCCAUGGUCUUACUGCAGUUUGUGCUAGUGGCUGCAUUGGUUAGCUAUGAAGUUUGUGUUAAUGUGUAAUACUGAAAUUUUGCUUUAAGAAAACAGAUUUGUCUCCCUUGAAUUUGCUUCUUAGGAUUAAUAUAGCUUCCUGAAUUGGCAAUAAAAAUGCGAAGGUUUUAAUCUGUAAGAGUUUUAUUCACGGUGGUCGGUGUGUAAAUAUAGAAUUUUGAAUUUUUUUACAGGGGACGCAGGUUGGACCCCAGAUCAGUGGGGGCACACGCGUUACAAAUUAUUCAGUGGUUCUGGAGAUAGUGUAACAAAGCAAAAGCAGUUGAACGCACUUAUUCGCGUGCUUCUGAAGGUUGUUAUAAGUCUUCUUCACUUAAAUGCUUUAUACGUUAUUGCAGUUACAUGCUCUUUAGUUUGACAAGCUGAAGUAACUGGCAACAGACAAUGCAAGACCAUUCUGAUGCUUGGCCUUUUAAAGAGCCAGUUGAUCCACUCGAUGUUCCUGAUUACUAUGAAAUCAUUAAAGAUCCCAUUGGUAAGAAUACAGUUGGGUUGAACACUGAAUUAUUUUGUUAUCCGUUUGUUGUUGUUCCUUGAAAGCAUUAUAGUCUCUACAAAGAAAUUUAAUCGCUGACGAAUGAAUGCAACUUAAUCAAAAGAUGGUUUCUUUAUAUAGGAGAACGACCUAUUGUUUGUUCUGUUAGUUUAAAUAGAUUUGAUUGAAAUUAUUUGUUAAUAAGGUAACUGCUCGUUUAAGUACAAAUAUGUUAUAAACUUUGGUAUGAACACAGAUCUGAAGACAAUUGGGAAGAGAGUAGAGUCAGAACAGUACUACGUGACGCUUGACAUGUUUGUGGCUGAUGCGAGGAGGAUGUUUAACAAUUGUAGAACUUACAACUCCCCAGAUACCAUUUACUACAAAUGUGCAACCAGGUAUUAACUUCUCUUUAUUUCUCCCUUUCAGUUCCUCUAUUAUGAAAAGAAAGUGAUUUUAAUCUGUUGUUUUCUCUUGAAAAGGUUGGAAACACACUUUCAUAGCAAAGUACAAGCAGCUCUACAGUCNNNNNNNNNNNNNNNNNNNNNNNNNNNNNNNNNNNNNNNNNNNNNNNNNNNNNNNNNNNNNNNNNNNNNNNNNNNNNNNNNNNNNNNNNNNNNNNNNNNNAAUAAAGUCAUCAAUUCUAGUUAUUUAAUUAAUAAAAAUUAACUAAUUCAAAUAGAUUUCAUAUAUUUUAAUUUUCUUAUAAAUGUAUAUAUUUUCUUUUAGUUACAACAAAUCAUAUAAAAUGUUUUUAUUGUUUAUUUUCAACCAAUUAAAUAUGUAAAAAUUCUUAAAAUAUAUAAAUUAAUAUUUUGUUAAAUAUUAAAUCAAAAAACGAAAAUAAGAAAAUCUGUAUAAUAUCUUGUAAUUAAAUAAGUUAAUAUACUGAUUAAUAUUUUAGAUUAUGAACAAAAUAACAUUUAUUUAUGUUUUCAAAUAAACUUAUUUAAAAAGUAAAUAGUAUAAUUUUAAUUAAUAUUAAUAAAUUGAGUUUAUGAAAUGAAAAUUUUAAAAGUUAAAAAUUAAAAAUUAAAUUAAUCUAACUUGAUCAUAAAUAUUAAAAAUAUUUUCAAAUAAUGUUACAAUUGUGGAUUUUCUGCUUGUGAAUUUUUACAGAAAACAAAAUAAUAGCAAUAAAUAUAUCAAAGAAGUGUGUGUUAUUAAGCCCUAAAAAGGUGCGAUUAAGAUAUAUUCUCUUCGUUUCAAAAUAUUACAUAUUUUAGAUUUUUCACAUAUUUUAAUAAAAUACACUAAACCUGCAUAAUUUUUUGUUCUUUUCUUUUUCCAUAAUUUAAGCCAAUAAAAAUCUAAUAGUUGCAAUUAAAUUUUUUGAAGUUUGCAAAUAACUAAUACAACAUGUAUUAGAAUGCAAAAAAUAAAAUUUUUUGAAUAAAAUUUUUCUUUAGAAUAUACUCCAUUCGUUCGCGAAAGUAAGAUUUUUUAGAGUUUAUCCUUAUUCCACAAAAAUAGAUUUUCUAUAUUUUUAAGGUACUUUUGUAUAUUUUUUAGGAACAUUAAUUGUGAAUAUUUUAAUUGAUUAAAUCUUAUUGGUGAAUAGUUAUCGGUAAGUGUAUUGAAAAAUAAAUUGUAAACUAAAUUAUAAAUAUUUAUUAUAUUCUUAAUAAACAUGAAAACUCUAUAAAAUCUUACUUUCGGGAACGGAUGGAGUAUAGCUUUAUGAAAUGGAAGUACUACGAAGUGAACAUAAACCAAAGUUUUAAACGGCAACUAAAGGCGAAGAUAAAUCAUCGACUCAUCAUCAUACAAUGUGGGAUUGCUAACAAAAAGAAAGGUGUUUUAAUUUUUCUUUUCAACCAUCACCGAAAAAAAGGAUAAUUAUAUUAAUUUCCUUAUUAUUUUUUCAAACCCUAAGUGAAUUAAAAAUAUUAUAUCUACAUCAAUGUCCCUUUAUAAUUAAGCCGAACAUCAACAUUUCCAACUCCCUCCUCCCAAGAAAAAGUGUGGAAGAUGAUGAACUCUUCUCUUCUAACUCCUUCAUCUUCAUCCCAUGUCCAAACUCCAACGACGACCUUUGACCAUGAAGAUUUCCUCGACCAAAUCUUUGCUUCCUCCCCUUGGCCCUCCGACGAAGCUCAUCCUCCUCCUCCUCCGCCUCCGUCCUCAGAUGGUUUUGUCGACUCUAGGCAUCAACAGAUCAUGAUGAUGCCUUUACCGUCUCAUCAUCAAAACGAGGUCGUUGAUGGCUCCUCCGUCCACUCUCUUUACAAUGGCUUCUCCGCCGGCGGAUCUCUUCCUUUCCACAUCCCUCAGGUAUAAAACCUAACAAUCUCUCCCUAAGUUUUUGAUAUUGAUGGGUGUUUAAAAUCUAGUUUUAUGAUCAACUUCAGGGAACGGUAGGUGGAAUGAUGAAUCAACAAGGACAAGCCCUAACGCAAAAGCAAACUCAACCGCAAGUGAGUGCGUCUAUAGCUACUGGUGGUACGGCGGCGGCUCCACCCCAGAGUAGGACUAAAGUCAGAGCUAGGAGAGGCCAAGCAACGGAUCCUCACAGUAUUGCCGAACGGGUCUGAUUUUUUUCUUUCUGAAUUAUUAUUCGAAAUGUUUUUCGUUGCAUUAACUCGUAUCAGUUACCGAGAAAGGUGUGGAAAUUAUUUUAUUUUUUUAGAAGAAAAGCUUUAAACUUUUUGAACUAUUUUCUGAAAAAGUGAUUUUAUGGGGCAGUUACGACGAGAGAGAAUUGCGGAGAGAAUGAAAGGUCUUCAAGAACUCGUUCCUAACGGCAAUAAGGUAUUUUAUCGAAUUCAUUUUCAGUUUAUUUUCCAAAUAAAACGGAUCAUUAAACUUUAUACUUAUAAAUCAACACUCUGAAUAUAUAUGAUCCAAUAUCAUUUGUUGACCAUAAGAUAAUAUAAAACAUAUAUCUAUACAGUCCAUAAUAAUCCAUUGUCUAUAUAAAUUCGACCGGAGUGAAAAUUAAAUGUCAAAUAUAAAAUAAACUAUACGAGAGCGAGAUUUUCUCAUUUUUCACUGUAAUUUAUAUCUGAUAGAAAUAUUUUGGGUUUAAAUGUUUAAAUAUAUCUGUAGAACUUGUCCAUCUAGAUUAUUAUUUUACAAACUAAAUUUGAUUUAAUAUAUAAGUUAACUGAAAAAAAUAGUUUCUUGUGCGAUCCACUUCAGUAGUCUGAUCAGGAAUUGUGGAGUUGUUCACGUCUUCAAUUAGAUUGUUUAACAUGUCAACUAGAUUAUUUUCAUAGGUUAAGAUUUAUUGACCAAAACUCAAGAGUUGAUAAGUAAAAUUUCAUACUUUUUGUUUUACUCAUAUAAUGGUGGUUGAUUAGUCUCUCUAUAUAAAACUAUCAAUCAAAUCAUUAAACACUGAUUAGCUAAUUAAUUGCGCUACAAUAAUAAAGUUAACUAAUGCAGUAAUUAAUGGGUUGGGAUCUCAGUUCUGACAGAUUGUUUUUUGUAUAUUUAUUUAUAUAAUAAUUAACAGACAGACAAGGCAUCGAUGCUCGAUGAGAUUAUAGAUUAUGUCAAGUUCUUACAACUCCAAGUCAAGGUGAAUCUCAGUCUCUCAAACUUAUCUUACAGUUAUUAAAGCAAGACGCAAUUUUUUAGAAACUAAAUUAUGUUUCAUUUUAUUAUAUUGAUUGAAGAUUCUUCGUUUGCCUUAUAAUUGACAUACCAGACAAAAAGAAAAGCUGAUAUAUUAGUACAAUAUCGAUAUACCAAUUAAUCAAAUAUGGGCCUCUGCAACUAAAUUCCCUAUGCUCCCUCUCUAUUAUUUUUUUCUGGAUUGUCAUAUACUCGCAUUUUAUAAUGCAUAUUUAUUUAAAUAAUAGUGGACCGGUGUACUUGAUAAUCCUUUUUUAUUUUAAUUAUUGCGUUUUAGGUACUGAGCAUGAGCAGAUUGGGUGGUGGUGCUUCCAAUUCUCAAAUCUCUGAGGUAAUCAAUUUUAUUAUUUCUUCUCCUUUGUUUUAUAAACUCCAAUAAUUUAUAUCAAAGUUAAUGGAUAAAAUAAUGAAACCACAUCAAUUUUACCUAAAAUUGCAUUUGUUAUAUUAAGUUAUAUGCAACCUGCGCGUUACAUAUUUUUGUUUUUGUCAAAUAUAGAUAAAUCUUGCAAGAAGUUCAAGUGAAAUAGACAUAUAUAAAGAUUCCAAGACAAGUUCUAAGAUUUUAAAAUUCUAAAGAUAGAGAAAAGAGAAAGCACGCGUGCCGACUAUUAUAACUUAGGGUUUCGUUUUCUUGUCUUUAUCUUUUAUCUUUUCUUUUUUAGAAUAUUUUAUUUUUAUUUUCAGGAGAAUACAUCCUCAGCCGUCGCCGGGGGUAAUCAGGCGACCGGAAACUCCAACGACAGCUUGACGAUGACGGAGCAUCAAGUGGCGAAGCUGAUGGAAGAAGACAUGGGCUCGGCGAUGCAAUACCUUCAAGGGAAAGGUCUUUGUCUCAUGCCUAUCUCUUUAGCCACAGCAAUCUCAACCGCCACGUGUCACUCGCGUAAUACUUUGAUCCCUGGAGCAGCCGGUGGGGUCGGAGGUCAUCCUUCUUCUCCCAAUCUUUCCGGCAUGACCGUACAGUCAACGAAUAAGGUGACGUUAAGUGGUAACGGCGUGACUGAGGGAUCGCCGCCUCUCGUCGUUAAAGAGGCUGUUUAGGUUUCGAAGCCGUGAUAACGUCUCUUUCUUUACUUUUGGGGUUAGGCAAAGAGAUAAACAAAAAGGAAA